rnacentral:rRNA from 1 species
AUUGAACGCUGGCGGCAGGCCUAACACAUGCAAGUCGAGCGGAUGAAGGGAGCUUGCUCCUGGAUUCAGCGGCGGACGGGUGAGUAAUGCCUAGGAAUCUGCCUGGUAGUGGGGGAUAACGUCCGGAAACGGGCGCUAAUACCGCAUACGUCCUGAGGGAGAAAGUGGGGGAUCUUCGGACCUCACGCUAUCAGAUGAGCCUAGGUCGGAUUAGCUAGUUGGUGGGGUAAAGGCCUACCAAGGCGACGAUCCGUAACUGGUCUGAGAGGAUGUUCAGUCACACUGGAACUGAGACACGGUCCAGACUCCUACGGGAGGCAGCAGUGGGGAAUAUUGGACAAUGGGCGAAAGCCUGGUCCAGCCAUGCCGCGUGUGUGAAGAAGGUCUUCGGAUUGUAAAGCACUUUAAGUUGGGAGGAAGGGCAGUAAGUUAAUACCUUGCUGUUUUGACGUUACCAACAGAAUAAGCACCGGCUAACUUCGUG